GUCCUACGGGAGGCAGCAGUAGGGAAUCUUCCACAAUGGGCGAAAGCCUGAUGGAGCAACGCCGCGUGGGUGAAGAAGGUCUUCGGAUCGUAAAACCCUGUCGUUCGAGAAGAAAUUGCGUGAGAGUAACUGUUCACGUUUCGACGGUAUCUAACCAGAAAGUCACGGCUAACUACGUGCCAGCAGCCGCGGUAAUACGUAGGUGGCAAGCGUAUACAGGAUUUAUUCGGCGUAAAGCGAGUGCAGGCGGU
rnacentral:rRNA from 1 species